CCUUUUCCUUAGACAGGCUAGCUUGCAUGGAUACCGAAUUUAGUGUAACACCCAGGAAAGUUAUUUCAGUGCUGGGACCUUCAGUGUUGUCUGGGGCUACCGGAACUCCCAAAUCCUUAAAUAAAGAAAGCGUGUUUUGUAAGCUGUACGGUGUGUAGUAGUGUGGUUCAACCGAUAGAAAAUCUUUAAGUUAAUGUAUCAC